rnacentral:rRNA from 1 species
UGGGGAAUUUUGGACAAUGGGCGAAAGCCUGAUCCAGCAAUGCCGCGUGUGUGAAGAAGGCCUUCGGGUUGUAAAGCACUUUUGUCCGGAAAGAAAUCCUUGGCUCUAAUACAGUCGGGGGAUGACGGUACCGGAAGAAUAAGCACCGGCUAACUACGUGCCAGCAGCCGCGGUAAUACGUAGGGUGCAAGCGUUAAUCGGAAUUACUGGGCGUAAAGCGUGCGCAGGCGGUUUGCUAAGACCGAUGUGAAAUCCCCGGGCUCAACCUGGGAACUGCAUUGGUGACUGGCAGGCUAGAGUAUGGCAGAGGGGGGUAGAAUUCCACGUGUAGCAGUGAAAUGCGUAGAGAUGUGGAGGAAUACCGAUGGCGAAGGCAGCCCCCUGGGCCAAUACUGACGCUCACGCACGAAAGCGUGGGGAGCAAACAGGAUUAGAUACCCUGGUAGUCCACGCCCUAAACGAUGUCAACUAGUUGUUGGGGAUUCAUUUUCCUUAGUAACGUAGCUAACGCGUGAAGUUGACCGCCUGGGGAGUACGGUCGCAAGAUUAAAACUCAAAGGAAUUGACGGGGUCAUAGCUGUUUCCU